ensembl:lncRNA
AAGGGUGUUUUACUAUGUCAGAAGGGUGUUUUACUAUGGUAGAAGGUGAGGUAGAAGGGUGUUUACUAUGGUAGAAGGGUGUUUUACUAUGGCAGAAGGGUUUUUUACUAUGGUAGAAGGGUGUUUUACUAUGUCAGAAGGGUGUUUUACUAUGGUAGAAGGUGAGGUAGAAGGGUGUUUACUAUGGUAGAAGGGUGUUUUACUAUGGUAGAAGGGUGUUUUACCAUGGUAGAAGGGUGUUUUACUAUGGCAGAAGGGUGUUUUACUAUGGUAGAAGGGUGUUUUACUAUGGCAGGAGGGUGUUUUACUAUUUCAGAAGGGUGUUUUACUAUGGUAGAAGGGUGUUUUACUAUGGUAGAAGGGUGUUUUACUAUGUCAGAAGGGUGUUUUACUAUGGUAGAAGGGUGUUUUACUAUGGCAGGAGGGUGUUUUACUAUUUCAGAAGGGUGUUUUACUAUGGUAGAAGGGUGUUUUACUAUGUCAGAAGGGUGUUUUACUAUGUCAGAAGGGUGUUUUACCAUGGUAGAAGGGUGUUUUACUAUGUCAGAAGGGUGUUUUACCAUGGUAGAAGGGUGUUUUACUAUGGUAGAAGGGUGUUUUACUAUGUCAGAAGGGUGUUUUACUAUGGUAGAAGGGUGUUUUACUAUGGUAGAAGGGUGUUUUACUAUGGUAGAAGGGAGUUUUACUAUGUCAGAAGGGUGUUUUACUAUGUCAGAAGGGUGUUUUACUAUGGUAGAAGGGAGUUUUACUAUGUCAGAAGGGUGUUUUACUAUGGUAGAAGGGUGUUUUACUAUGGUAGAAGGGUGUUUUACUAUGUCAGAAGGGUGUUUUACCAUGGUAGAAAGGUGUUUUACUAUGGUAGAAGGGUGUUUUACUAUGGUAGAAGGGUGUUUUACUAUGGUAGAAGGGUGUUUUACUAUGGUAGAAGGUGAGGUAGAAGGGUGUUUACUAUGGUAGAAGGGUGUUUUACUAUGGUAGAAGGGUGUUUUACUAUGGCAGAAGGGUGUUUUACUAUGGUAGAAGGGUGUUUUACUAUGGCAGAAGGGUGUUUUACUAUGGUAGAAGGGUGUUUUACUAUGUCAGAAGGGUGUUUUACCAUGGUAGAAGGGUGUUUUACUAUGUCAGAAGGGUGUUUUACUAUGGUAGAAGGGUGUUUUACUAUGUCAGAAGGGUGUUUUACUAUGGUAGAAGGUGAGGUAGAAGGGUGUUUACUAUGGUAGAAGGGUGUUUACUAUGGUAGAAGGGUGUUUUACUAUGUCAGAAGGGUGUUUUACUAUGGUAGAAGGGUGUUUUACUAUGUCAGAAGGGUGUUUUACUAUGGUAGAAGGUGAGGUAGAAGGGUGUUUACUAUGGUAGAAGGGUGUUUUACUAUGGUAGAAGGGUGUUUUACUAUGUCAGAAGGGUGUUUUACUAUGUCAGAAGGGUGUUUUACCAUGGUAGAAGGGUGUUUUACUAUGUCAGAAGGGUGUUUUACC